ensembl:lncRNA
UGAAGAAAGAAAUAUUUAUUAAUAAUGAUAUUAGUCCUGAUGAUAAUUAUAGUAAUAAUGUUUAAUAAUAAUGUAAUGGUCUUGUAAUAAAUAGUACUUUUGAUCUGAAACACACACGAGCCAUACAGAGAGAAACAAGAGGAAAGAAAAAUUUGCAUUAGAAUUACAGUUCCCCAAACUGCCUUUUAUUUCUCAUUAUAGCUCUAUAUAGACUCAUAUAUAUAUAUGUAUAGAUUACCUAUAUUUAUCUGAAUAUGUCAAAAUAAAUAGCUGAAUAAAUAAUUAAUAGAAAGACAAAAAAAAAUCCAAAUCAUUGCGUUUUGUUUUGUAGCACAGAGAGCGUGUGUAUCACACCAGCAGGAAGUGGACGUGUGUUUAGAUUAUUAGAGGCCCAGCGUGGAGCUGACACAGGAAGGUACUUUCAGACUGUACCCGGGUCAUGGCCGCAUCAGGGCCGCAUCAGGGGCUCCUCUGGGGCUACUGCAUCAGCCCAAUCUUUGUGCUUUGGGGACAGGUGGAGGCAGAGAUCAUGGCCACAGUGAGUGAGUGAGUGAGUGACCAUCCAGCGUCGCAUAUGUGUGUGUUUGUGUGUGUGUGUGUGUGGAGGCAGAGAUCAUGGCCACAGUGAGUGAGUGAGUGAGUGACCAUCCAGCGUCGCAUUUUUCGAGAGAUAAGCUGUGUGUGUGCAUAUGUGUGUGCAUCCAUAUGUGUGUGCGUGCAUAUGUGUGUGUGUGUGUGUGUGUGUGUGUGUGUGUGGGGUAGGGGUGGAGGGGGUCCAAACACAUGUCUACGUGUGUAAAAGUUACUUCCAUUCAGUGGUGCGUGUGUGAGUGUGUGUGUGUGUGCGUGCGUGUGUGUGACUGUAUGUGUGUGUGCGUGUGUGUGCUUGGUUAGAAAAGUUACUCUCAUUCAGUGGUGCGUGUUGUGUGGGACUGUGUGUGACAGUGUGUGUGUGUGGGACUGUGUGGAGUUCAGUUGCUUUACAAGUAGAUGUGAAUAGCUGAGUGUGUCUGGAGUGUGUGAGUGUGUCUGGAGUGUGUGAGUGUGUGAGUGUGUUUGGAGUGUGUGAGUGUGACUGGAGUGUGUGAGUGUGACUGGAGUGUGUGAGUGUGUUUGGAGUGUGUGAGUGUGUCUGGAAUGUGUGAGUGUGACUGGAGUGUUUGGAGUAUAUGUGGGAAGCUGACUUUGCCACAGGGGUCAGUAUAGUAUUGACUACAAGUUCUGGAUACUGCAAGCGAA